AAAACAUUUGCCUGGCUCUGAAAAGAUUAUUCAUCAUUUAUUCUAUCGCUUUUUCAUGCAUGACCGUGGCAUCUGUCCCAGAAGAGUGAUACCAUUAAAUAUGUAACGUCUCGGUUGUGUUUCUAUGGAAACAGUAUCACGCUCUUGCUUUGCUGUUGAUCAACAUGGAGUUUAUGGGAAGCAGUUAUCAUGGAGAUUACAAUAAUGGCAGGAUGGAGGGGACGGGUGAAUACACACUUCCCACUCACACCAGAUAUGUCGGAGAAAUGAAAGACGGCAUGUUCCAUGGAAAAGGAGUGCUCCAUUUCCCCAAUGGAAGCAAAUAUGAGGGAACUUGGGAGAAAGGAAUAUGCAAAGAGGGAAAGUACACAUUUUCUGAUGGCCUUGAGUAUAAAGAGACAGACUGGGAUUACUGUGAUGGCAAGGACAGGCGUUUCUACUCUGAGAGGUGUAAUGGCCUCAAACCAGCAGGAGAAUCCCAGGUAAUUGAUCGGGACCCCCCGCGGGCCAUCCCUGAUGGUUGCUAUGACAGCGGCGAUGGCUUUUAUGAUCCCAGCACUAGAGUCGUCAAAGAUUAUGAUGGCAAUUUUCUCAGGAACGCAGACGACCAGGAACACGAGUGGAUCGUGCGGACCUGCAGGAAGAGCUGGGAUGAGUUCACUGGCCACUGUCCAAGAGGCAACACACUGGAGGAGAAACAUCACAUUUGGGUGACCAAAGAGGGUUCCAGUGUUGAGAGGACUAGAAGAAACUAAUGGUCUGCAGAUGGCCAGGCACGGCCCUUUUUUGGCCUGAAUCUGAGCCCCCCUUCACCACUACACCUCUGUCAUUGGGAGCUCUUGUGUAAACAAAGUGUCACACACAGCCUCCUCCGACUGCAAAGAAACACGGGAUAUCGAGAUAGCUAUGUUUCCCCCGUAUACGCUACUGAAGAAUGAUGACACCGGCCCCAAAAGUCCCGCAGUGGGGCCCUCGGGGCGUUCAUCCACUGGAAAUGACAUCAUAGCCCACCAGGGAGCCCCACGGGGCUCAACAACCAGGAAACUUGGACCGGCACUUGUGUAUCAUAACUCGCUGGGGAAAAUUCCUGCAGCCGCAAAGCGUUUCCCUCAGCACCGGAGAAAUUCACCUUUGGCUGGAAAAGAGAAGCUUGUGGAAGUACAAAUUCGGUAGAUUAAAUUUGAUAUACUCUCAGAGUAUUAUAAUCUGGGGGAAAUCUCCCUCUCAGAGACUGCUGAGACAUAUUAGUGGUGUUUGCUACGGCGAGCAUCGCUUUUACUAUUGCUCUUGGCGGAUCGUGAGUAUUUAAUUUUGGUAUGUACCUCAUCCCAUUCCAUUGCUUGUGCUACUAUAGUAUUUGCAUAAUACUGCAAAUCUUACAACUUUUUGAGGUGUGCUUUUCUAUUCUUUAGCACUUGCAUCGACGAAACCUGGUGGACGAUAAAUUGUCUGAGAUACAUGGUAGACAUAUGUCAGCCAUAUCUACAAUGCAUAAUAGAGACUUAUAUCUAUAAAGAAAAUUGUCAUCAUUUACUCUUCUUGUUGUUGCGAAUUUGAAGAUAUUUUGGAGAAUGGGUCUGACCAAACAGUUGCUGGUAGCCGCUGACCUCCACGGUAUUUUUUCAUACUACGAAAGUCAAUGGCUACCAGCGACUGUUUGGUUAUCAGCAUUCUUCAAAAUAUCCUCUUUUGUGUUCAAUAUUAAAAGAAAUUCAUGCAGGUCCCAUUAUCGCAGUUGAAAGUGUCUACUUCCGUACUAUAUAGUAUGCGAAAGACAGUACAUGAAAAAAGUAGUACGUCCAAAUUUAUAGUAUGCGAUUUGUUUGCUUUUUUGCAUUUAUUUGCAUACUACAUUGUGAUUGAUCCAAACCUAUAUGAAUUUCUUUCUUCUGUUGAAGACAAAAGAAAAUAUUUUGAAGAAUGUGUCUACCAAACAGUUGCUGGUACCUAUUGACUUCCACAGUAAUUUUUUCAUACUGCGAAAGUCAAUGGCUACCGUCAACAGUUUGGUUAUCAAGAUUCUUCAAAAUAUCUUUUUUUUGUGUUCAAUACUUUACACUUUAACCCAUUCGAAAAUUCCUACUUCCAUACUAUAUAGAAUGCGAAAAACAGUAGUAGUACGUCCAAAUUUAUAGUAUUCAAAAAAACAGGCGAAAAGUAACUAGAUGACGUAGUACUUCCGGCAAAUUUCUGGAUUGCGCAUUUAAUUACUCUUUACUAUCCCAUGAGGCCACGGGACAGGAUUUGUGGAUGGCAGUGAAGCGACGCGACUGACGUCGUAGGUCACAUGACAGUAACAACACGUCAGAUGUAGUGCGUCCAAAUUUUAAUCAUAUAAAACAUACUUUUUAUGGUCACAAAGUAUCAAACCAAAUGUAGUAACUACUAGAUCAGUUUGCGAUUUCGGACAACCUAACAACACCUUAGCACCCAUCCACAGACAAAAUAUUAUUCUCUUUAUUUUUUAUUCUCAAACGUAUCCAUAUGUUGAUGCAAUUUUUUCCUCUGUUAACCAGAAAAAAAACACAUUUCAUUUUGUCAUCAUAAUUUCAGUCACUCAUAUAAUUUCCAGCAAGUUAUGAGUUACACAAGCUCUGUUUACUUCUGUUUGCAUUUAAACACAAGGAGUCCUGUACGCACAUAUGGCCAUUUCAGUACGUCACCUCCUCCAAAUCUAGCGAUCUCAGCUCUGCACAAACCCACUCGGGUUACCGCCUUACUCCAUCACCCUGUCCUUAUCCUUUGGUUCCUCUGAUUAACAGCCUCCUCUGACUUCCUGUGUGGCCUGAUGCUCGUGCCUUUGUGGCUGUUUCUUUUUAGUGUAGGUACAGUCUCCACUCUGACCCUUACCGCCAGAUCUGCCUCCCCCCCUCAGACACACACAGCAAACCCACUUUGAUUUCCUGUAAUUACACUCUAUUAGAGCAGCUGUCAAUCUGGCCCAGAUGAGAGACCAACACAAACGAAACAUAUCUCCUUAUGUUUUGUUUUCCUUUUUGCAAGAAAUCAAUGGAGAUCCUUUUCCUUUCAGGCAUAUGAUGACCAUCCUAUGGUGUUGUGCAGCACCAGCAAAUAAUCCAACCGCCAGAGACGAACAUGGCAUUGCAUUCAUAAGCUUGUGCUACAGGUCACAAGUCUACUUAUUAUGUCAAUGGACAAAGAAAACAAAUAAUUGACAUCUAAACUUAAAACCAGUUCAUGGAUAAAUUUAUAUGUCCAGUUAUAUAAAUACACACUCUUAAAAAUGAAGGUUGCAAAAUGGGUUUUUGCAGCAAUGCCAUAAAAUAACCAUUUUUGGUUCCUCAAAGAACCUAUCAGCGAACCAGUUUUCUCAGUGUGAAGAACAUUUAAAAAAUCGAAAGAACCUUUUUCCACUAUAAAGAACUUUUUGUGGAAUGGAAAGAUUCCAUGAAUGUUAAAGGUUCUUUAUGGAACCAUCGAUGCCAAUAAAGAACUUAAGAGUGUGGAGAUAAAUGUACAGAAUUUUUUAUGUCAAAUGCUGCAUUCUGCUAACUGCUAGUGGUUAUGAUCUCAAUCUCUUUAUAUGAAAUAUAAAAAAGGUGAAAUCCGCUUAUACUAAGAAACACUUCUAUUUGCAGAAGACUUGACAAAAGAGAUGUUUCAAUGCCACUGGAGAAAAACACAUGUUCAGUGUACUUCAGAUCACUGAACUCGUCUCCACAAGCAUGGAGCCAUUGCUGUCUCUUUUUCAAGGCAAACGUGAGUCAAUCAGUAUUUCGCUUCUGGGGAUGUUCCUGUGAUUCCAUGUCAAAAAACGUUAACCGUAUAUCUGAUUGCGUUUCCUGAUUAUCUCAGAUAAUUAGGGGGAAAAAACUUCAAUCUGAGGCUGUAUUUUAUUAUGCCAAAUCCAACAUAAACCCCCGUGGUUGCUGUUUUGACAUACUGAACUGCAGAGGAACAAAAAUACAUUAACAUUUUAUAUCCAUAAAAUAAAAUGCUGCUUUAUUUUAUUUUAUUUUAUUUUUUACUAAAUACAAUUUUAUAUGUAUAGCUAUUUUAAACGUCUGAAAAAUUGGAUACUGGAAUUUGCAUUUAUUUUAUUCAUCUGAAUUUAACUACUUUAUUAAUUUUCUACAAGCUACAAAUCACAUGAAAAUCACACUUUAAGUUUCAAGAUCAGUUAGACGAAAUGUGAAUAUUUUAGCAUAUUUAAUGCUAAUAAAAUAAUACACAUUAAACCACUUGGAAGAAUUUGUAAAGUCCUUGUCUUUUUCAUUUAACUGCCAUCAACAAACAUUUCUCAAAGCAUUUCAUCAUUUCAGAUUUCUAUUGUACUAAACCACAACUCGCCAUCUUCAGAAUAUGGUUUCAUCCAUAAUAAAAUCUAUAACAUAAUCCCCUAUAAAGUCUAUUUUGUGUAGUUUUUUGCAUUCCUUUCAGAGUUUCCUCUUGUAAGCACACUCGUGGAUAAACAGCCUGAGAGAUCCUGAUGCCCUAGACUCAACACAACCAGUGAAGAUCAAGGCAUUGAUGCACCAUCUCGUGGAGCAUCUCUUCAGAUUAUUGGCCUUAACGUAGAAAACAAACCCUCUCCUGCAACACAGCAUUGACUUUAAAGGGGCCAGUCAUUCACAUUGACGGGCAAUAAGCAGGGAA